rnacentral:lncRNA from 1 species
GGAGCUUGUUUAUGUUAUCCAUGCCCACCGUCAUUUUGCACCAAAUUUAUGAAAUUUUGCAAGUCUUUUCGAAUAAUUCUCUAGAAAAUAUUUCAAUAGGUUUCAAAAUUUAUAUUGUAAAUAUGCACACUGCAGUUAUUCAUAGAUAAAUAAAAAAUAUAUUGUACCCUUACAUCCAAUCACAGCGCUCUUAAGUUGACUUCCUACGCCCUGUCUUGGGUACACAAAAGGCCAACCUAAUGCUGGGAAAAUUAAAU